CAGAAAAGAGAGACCUCAUGAAGAUGUAAAAGGCGGACAUGAUGGCUUGGGCUUUUACCUUCAAUUUCUUCCAUUAAACCUCAACCAAUCAUAAAAGUUCCUGUAGAAAAAGUGUUCAUCUCUUCAACGGCUUCACACCUAUGGUUUUCUAUUUUCCAGUCGUGAAGAUAUGGAUCUCAAGCUUAAUGAGGGAGAAUUAAGGAACAAAUUUUACAGUCUUCAAGAGAUAUUGUAGCUGAUCCUGUGCCUCCUACUAAUCGUUGAGAGGCCCCAUAGCUUUUUGGACAGUGGAAGCACCUUUUGAUAAGCUCUUGGGGCCCAGCUCAAGUAAAGACAAAGGAAAAGCUAAUGAAGUUUGAAAUCUAUGGAUUUGUCCUAAAUAGUUUUGUGUAAUUAUUAGAGUACGUGUGUUUUAAGUUGGUCUGUAAACUUCUGAAUGCUACAGUUGUAAUAUGAGAUAACGUGCUUCUGGACUAUUUUGAAUUAUUUUGGA